AGUAACACGUGGGUAACCUGCCCAUAAGAGGGGGAUAACAUCCGGAAACGGAUGCUAAUACCGCAUAUUUCCAAUUGUCUCCUGACAGAUGGAAAAAAGGUGGCUUCGGCUACCGCUUAUGGAUGGACCCGCGGCGUAUUAGCUAGUUGGUGAGGUAAUGGCUCACCAAGGCGAUGAUACGUAGCCGACCUGAGAGGGUGAUCGGCCACACUGGGACUGAGACACGGCCCAGACUCCUACGGGAGGCAGCAGUAGGGAAUCUUCCGCAAUGGACGAAAGUCUGACGGAGCAAUGCCGCGUGAGUGAAGAAGGUUUUCGGAUCGUAAAACUCUGUUGUUAGAGAAGAACAAGGAUGAGAGUAACUGCUCAUCCCCUGACGGUAUCUAACCAGAAAGCCACGGCUAACUACGUGCCAGCAGCCGCGGUAAUACGUAGGUGGCAAGCGUUGUCCGGA
rnacentral:rRNA from 1 species